rnacentral:pre_miRNA from 1 species
GCUUAUGGAUAAGCAAAAAAAGUAGUUUCUUGAGAUGGAAUCUUCUCCUGGUGAAGAUGCUGUGAA